rnacentral:tRNA from 1 species
GCGAGUGUAGCUCAGGGGUAGAGCACGACCUUGCCAAGGUCGGGGUCGAGGGUUCGAAUCCCUUCACUCGCUCCA